UAUCUUUAGUCGGAUAGUAUCCUUACGUGAAUACAUAGCGUGAGGAAGGCAGACCCAGGGAACUGAAACAUCUAAGUACCUGGAGGAAGAGAAAGAAAAAUCGAUUUCCUGAGUAGCGGCGAGCGAAACGGAAAGAGCCCAAACCAAGAAGCUUGCUUCUUGGGGUUGUAGGACACUCUAUACGGAGUUACAAAAGAAAGUUAUAAAUGAAGCGGUCUGGAAAGGCCCGCCAAAGAC
rnacentral:rRNA from 1 species